rnacentral:miRNA from 1 species
UGGAACCGAUAAUGGAUCAGG